rnacentral:rRNA from 1 species
GACGAACGCUGGCGGCGUGCUUAACACAUGCAAGUCGAACGAAGUGGCGAACGGGUGAGUAACGCGUACUCAACCUGCCCUUCUGAGGGGGACAACAGUUGGACACGACUGCUCAUACCGCAUACUGAAGGGGGGGAUUGCGUCUGAUUAGCGAGUUGGGGGGGUAACGGCCCACCAAGGCGAUGAUCAGUAGCCGGUCUGAGAGGAUGAACGGCCACAUUGGGACGGGGACACGGGCCAGACUCCUACGGGAGGCAGGAGUGGGGAAUCGUCCGCAAUGGGCGGAAGGCUGACGGGGCAACGCCGCGGGAGUGAUGACGGCCUUCGGGUUGUAAAGCUCUGUUAAUCGGGACGCGGUACCGGAAUAGAAAGCCACGGCUAACUACGUGCCAGCCGCCGCGGUAAUUC